CCAAACAACAUUAUCUACAGAGAGCUGAAUACCACUUAAAACCUUUCCUGCAACCGCUCCAUCUGUUGUCUUGGAUUAGCUCCAUGUUUAUUGCCUUUUUUUUUUCCUCACAUGCUCAAAGGCAGACAGGGCAGGGAGGGCGAAAGAAAGGGAGGCGAAUAAAGAGCCGAACACACAUCUUGUUAAAAGUACUUGAACGCGUCAUGUGGCGCCGUGUGACCUGUUCGGUCAACGGUUGGCUCGCAGUCCAUCAUUGUAACCAUCAUCACCUUCAUCAUUGUUAUCAGCUACAAUGCCCACAGUCGGUUGAGAAGAGGACGUAUUGCUGAGAGUAUCCAUGGCUGCUCUGUAGCCAUCGUGUGCUUUAGUUAACUUCGGAGAUGACGGAGGACAAACAAGUACUUCAAAGACAGUAAAGUAACACAGCAACUUAUAACAUCAAUACAUCCUUGCCGUUUCUGUGUCAAUGGCACAUCUAAGUUCAC